CCUCGGCAGAGAGCUUGCUUUAGGAAAAAUUUCCUAACAUCUCGGAGGUUCCACCAGGUAGGGCGGCCUUUCCGUGUGGCCCUAGGCCACGCAUCGAAAGCCCCCUAGUCCACAAUCUGAGCUCUCCACACCACGCUAAAACCGGCUCCUGGGCUACAGCGGUUGCGUCUUGGAUGGAGAGAAGCGUUUUCAGCCUCCAGGGAAAUGGCAGAUGUGGUGGCUCAGGUACUCCUGGACCACAUUAUUCCUCGGUUUGGUGUCCCACAAACCAUCCAGAUGGACAAUGGACUCAUCAAACAACAACUAACCAAGCUCUUCAUUGAACUCAGGUCUCUUGAACCUCGACGGACAGGACCUCACACAGUAAUCUUCACCACCCCCUUGGCUGCCAAGCUCCUAGGACACCCAUGUUGGUACCAUCUUUCCAGGUUCAAGCGGGCAUCUACUCAGGACACUUGGUCUGUCCAGCAGAUAGGACCUUCCACCCUCCGGUUUUCCAGGAUGCCACAAUGAAGGGCCUACCUGCUCCUCAUCCUGGCACUCAUCUUUGGUGAUAACAGUAUUUUUUGCUAGAUACCUGCCUUCUCACCUCCCCCAAGGAACAGAUGCCUGACGUCUCCGGGAUGACAGUACAUGGGGUGCCUUUCCAGUCACACCUCUCGCUGAGCGUGGACCCACCAACACCUAGCUCUCCCCUUGCCCAUGUCGCCUUAUGCCCACAGGAGGUAGCCAGACUUGAGUCAACGUCCCUUUUUCCUAAGAGAGCCUAGAUGUUAGUCAAAAUAUCACCUCAGCUUCCAGUUACCCCUUAUACAAAUAGUCUGGAAUGUAAGCCCCAAGUCCCAGUCUCUGUCCUCCAUCUUUGAAGGCCCUGUUCCUGUGCCCGCCAAGCCUUGGCCCCUCCCCAGAGGAGUGCCAAGACGAGCCCGCCAAAAUCUUGACCACUCCCCUAGUCUACUUAAACUGCUUCCCCAGAAGGUCCCCUUGUGGUCUCUUUUCUCUCCCACCAACCCCCGUGGUCACCUUCGUGGCCUCCCGGUUCCCCCUGGGGCCACCCAAGAGCGUAGGAAUCCCAU